rnacentral:lncRNA from 1 species
UUUAUUCAAGUCCUAUCUAAUUGGCCACUCAAAUAAAACAAGAAUAAACCAUGAACAUUAAUUAUAGAAGAACAUAAACAAUCUCAAUUAAAUAAAUUGAAUGAUAGAAUUUAAAUUUAAUUGCAUAGCAUGUUUAGGGUUUUGAAUUCACCCUCAACCAAAUAAAAAUCUAGCCUAACAUAAUUGAAUUGGGAAUAAGAGAAUUGAUAAAACCAGUCAUGGAGAUUAAUUCAAGCGGCUGCCUUUGCUUCAAUUUUAAUUCCUUCCGGCGUCUCCCUUGUUUUUUUCCUUCUUGCAGCUGCAAUCUCAAAUUCUCUUGCUACCGAUUCUCCUCCAGUGUUGCUUCUGCUUGAUCCUAUUUAUAAUGCUUCAAUUGUGGCUUUUUUAAAUCCUUGCCUGGAAAGAAUUAAAUUCAAAGCCCAAAACCGCCACUUUCAUGCUUCAAUUAAUAAGCCAAUAAUGAUUUCCUAAAGCCAAAAGGCUUUAUUCUCUUUCCUUUCAUGUGGCCACUUUUGAUUUGCAAUCUUUGUUUUCCAAUUUUGCUUUCAUGUGAUGGCUUGGCUUGUUAAUUGGCUUGGCUUCCUUUUUGACUUUCAUUUUCUAAUUUUAGCUCCAUGUACAACAUUAAUUUUGCUUGGCCGAUACAAGCUUUAAUUAAAUUUAUUUUCUAAUUCCUUUCAAUUCUUGAUCUCUUGUGCACUUUUGUCUUUCAAUCUUCAAUCAAAUUUCUUUCCUGAAUGCUCCGAUUUAAUUUCUCUUUAAUUCUAGAAUAUACCUAAAAUAACAAAAUAAAUAAAACUAAGAUAAAAAUUAACACAAUAAAAUAUAAUUUACUAAAUUAAAAGUUAACUAAAAUAACUAGAAUAUUUAAGACCAAAACAAGAAAAAGAUAGAGAAAUUAAUAGCAAAAUAUAUGGAAAAUAUGCACUUAUCAGCCAUCACUAGCCAACCAGCCACCAAAAUUGACAGCCGUGCUAGCUACCCACCACCACAAUACCCUACCACUGCCUGCUAAUACUCCACAAAAUCUUCUCAAGACUUCGAGCCACAGUGUCCAGGUCUGCUUUUUCAAGUCUUGCUUUUUUAAGUUUUUAGUAUCAUCAAGUCUUGCUUCUUCAAGUCUUAAAGUGUAUCUUCAGUCACCAAUUAUAUUUAUGGGUAUUCACUGGUUCGUUGAGUAAUUUUUUCAAACAUAUGGGGUAUUGCGUCAUAACAGCCUUGUAUAUUUCUAUAUCUAAUAUUGAAUGAAUGAAUGAAUCUAUGUGUAGCUUACGAUCGAAAUGCAAAAUCAAGAGUAGUAACAAUUAAAGAACAAUUAAAAAUGAAAUGAAAGCAUAUUCACAAGUUGUUUAUUGAUUUACCUUUCAAUAAAUCUCUCUCUCACACUCACACACUCUGCUCUCUAACCUACCUUUUUGACUUGGCUCCCAAAAAAUAAUAAAGUAAAAUUUUGGUCCCAAGAAAGUUUGAUUUCUAAACAAAGGGGAAAAAAAAGUUAAAAGAAAGUAAGAUUUAUUUUACAAAUUUUACGGUGCUUCUCUUUUAGAACUGUAUGUAUAAAUAAUAAUAAUAAUAAUAAUAAUAAUAAUAAUAAUAAUAAUAUGAGUUUCAUAGAAAAUUUAAUUUAUUUGAUCAUGUUCAUUGAUAUGCUUUAACAAUGCUUUAUUAAUUCUAUUAAUUGCACUUCUUAACUCCUACUUAUCAUAUGAUUAACCCCUUAGUUUGGUUGGGAUGAUUGGUACUUUCUAUUUUUAACUUAUGGUGGAGCGUUUGAGUCUUGCGGUGACCUAUUAGUUUGGUUAAGUUGAUCGGCACUUUCUAUCUUUAACUUACGAUGGAGCAUUCGAGUCUGGCAGUAAAUAUAUAUUAGAGUUUAUUUUUUUAUUCGAAGGGAAAAUCUUUAAAUAACAAUAAAAAUAUAAAAUAUUUAUUAGUACAGACCAAUACGGUACACCGUAUUUCCUUCAAACACAAACCAAGGAACUGAAAAUAUUAUUAAUAGAAGUAUAGAACUAGUCGUCAAAAUGGAACGUGGUCUCCUAGCACAGAAGCAAUUUGAUCUUUAAUUAGGUAAGAAUGCGUAUAGCCGUCGUCCUCUUUGUAAAUAAAAUCAAUUGCACGAGCAAGAUUAAGAAUCGUCCCGAGCAGUGGUCGGGCAACGACGGUUGGCUUCAUCAUCAACUCCUCGUUAAUAUCUUUCCAUGCAUUUGCAACUUCUUCUUCAAACAUUUUAAUUGCCUCUUCCUUAGAGACACCAUGCUGCUUCGUGUAACAUUCAAUAGCUGACGCAACAUGUCCUCUCUUCUGCUCAAACUACAUAUAUAAUAACAUAUGGUUUAGUAUCGGUGCCUGUUUAGAUUGGUAUAUAUUAGGAGAUUUAUAAGUAAUUAUAGUAAUUAUUCAAAAAAUUAAAAGUUAAUUUUGAUGUAUACACACACACACCCCACUUUUCAGUGCGCAGAUUUUUUAAAAAUAUAAUAACAUAGAUUGGAGGGUUUUGAUAAAUUUUCUAUAAAAGUGCGGGGUUAUGUAAGCAGUGGAAAAAACUAUAAGGGGAUGUAGUGCCAUUUUCACUUAAUUUAAUUAGUAGUUAGUAAAGUAUUUUUUAUUUUGCAUACCUCAUGACCUUGCAUGUCAUCCAAGAGUCUGCAGAUAACUGAUGCUGCUUUUACAACCUUAGGGUUAUCGGAGAUCCAUUCAAAAACCUCUUUAGUUGCAAAAUCACCCAUCCCAAGGAAGGAAUUUGUUAUGACGAAUGUGUAAGCACAACUUGUUAGUGCAAUAGGCAUAUACUCCUCAAUUGUUGGAACGUAACCUUCACUGAACCAUUUGGCUUGAACAAAGUAUGCUCCAAUUACUUUUUGAUUCUGAGAAGCAAAACGCAGCUAAACCUUAGCCGUUAUAAAAACAAUAAUAAGAAAUAAGUUUUUAAAUUUUAAUAUACCUGUUGUGAUAUAUUAAUUUGAUCUAAUUAAUUUCUAAGAGCCAAUAAUUCAGUAAGAUUUAUGGUUGACGAGUAAGAUUUCUCAUCUCCAUCCGAACAAUACAAUAAAAAAGGAAACAGCCUCCAUCAUCGAACACACUUUUGAUAAGUUUUAUGUAACCUAAAAAAUAGCUCCAAGGGUUUAAGCUAAUUAUCCAAUUAAUUCUUACAUUUGUAAUAAUUCAGGGAGAGGUGUGAAAAUUUUAGCAAAAUUUCAGGGGGGUGAAUGAAAUAUGUCUAAAAUUUUGUGAAACUUAAAUUUACCCAUAGAUAUUUGAUGUAAUUUUGUGGGUGGAGUAGAUAUUCCUCCCAAAAUUGUGUACAAUACACAUAUCGGUAAUUUAAAGGAAAAAAAAAUAGGGAGGAUGAUGCAUACCGCCUCUUUUGCAUAACGUACGCAGUGUGAUCUUCCUUGCUUGGCCAUAUCUUCCUCAAUUUCAUUAAAAGCAUCUAAGAGUGUCCUGUAAAUCAAUUUCAUGUAUUCUGGAAGCGUAUCUACGGCCUCAAUAUUCCAUCUGGAAAUCAAUUUAAUAACCAUUUUAUAAUAAUAGCAACAAAAAUUUAAUUCUGAAAUUCAAAAUUAAUUAGCUAUACGCAGGGCACUAACCUUUGAACUGCUUCAGUAAAGAGGCUGAGUUCUUCAAGUGUACCAUACGCAUCAUAAGUAUCAUCUAUGAUGGAUAAUAUGUAAUUUAAUUGGGUCAUUAUCUUUCUCCCAAAUGCAUAUUGAGGCUCGAAGUAUGUCCCUAAAUCCCAAAAAUAUAACUCCACUAAUCUGUCUCUUGCAUAAGGUAGUUUUGUAGUGAAGUCUAAUUCUUUCCACCACCU